rnacentral:rRNA from 1 species
ACGGAAGGCAGCAGUGGGGAAUAUUGGGCAAUGGGCGAAAGCCUGACCCAGCGACGCCGCGUGAGCGAUGAAGGUCUUCGGAUUGUAAAGCUCUGUUGACAGGGACGAUAAUGACGGUACCUGUCGAGGAAGCCACGGCUAACUACGUGCCAGCAGCCGCGGUAAUACGUAGGUGGCAAGCGUUAUCCGGAUUUACUGGGUGUAAAGGGUGUGUAGGCGGGGGAGCAAGUCAGAUGUGAAAUCUAUGGGCUUAACUCAUAGACUGCGUCUGAAACUGUUCUUCUUGAGAGUCGGAGGGGUAAUCGGAAUUCCCGGUGUAGCGGCGAAAUGCGUAGAUAUUAGGAGGAACACCAGUGGCGAAGGCGAUCUACUGGACGAUAACUGACGCUGAGGCGCGAAAGCGUGGGGAGCAAACAGGAUUAGAUACCCUGGUA